UGAUGUCUGAGUACUAUGUAAUAGUUAAAACUUUCAACAACGGAUCUCUUGGUUCUGGCAUCGAUGAAGAACGCAGCGAAAUGCGAUAAGUAAUGUGAAUUGCAGAAUUCAGUGAAUCAUCGAAUCUUUGAACGCACAUUGCGCCCCUUGGUAUUCCGAGGGGCAUGCCUGUUCGAGCGUCAUUAUAACCACUCAAGCCUCGGCUUGGUCUUGGGGUUCGCGGUCUCGCGUCCCUUAAAAUCAGUGGCGGUGCCGUCUGGCUCUAAGCGUAGUAAUUCUCUCGCUAUAGGGUCCCGGCGGUUGCCUGCCAGAACCCCCCCAUUUUUUACGGUUGACCUCGGAUCAGGUAGGGAUACCCGCUGAACUUAAGCAUAU
rnacentral:misc_RNA from 1 species